rnacentral:rRNA from 1 species
GACAGAGGUGCCGAGCGUUAGGCGGAAUCACUGGGCUUAAAGCGCGCGUAGGCGGCCCGGUAAGUCGGAUGUGAAAUCUCACGGCUCAACCGUGGAACUGCAUUCGAUACUGUCGGGCUAGAGGCAGGUAGGGGAGCAUGGAAUUCCUGGUGUAGCGGUGAAAUGCGCAGAUAUCAGGAGGAACACCAGUGGCGAAGGCGGUGCUCUGGGCCGGUACUGACGCUGAGGAGCGAAAGCGUGGGGAGCAAACAGG